rnacentral:rRNA from 1 species
AUUGAACGCUGGCGGCAGGCCUAACACAUGCAAGUCGAACGAGUGGCGGACGGGUGAGGAAUGUCUGGGAAACUGCCCGAUGGAGGGGGAUAACUACUGGAAACGGUAGCUAAUAACGCAUACCAUCGGAUGUGCACAGAUGGGAUUAGCUAGUAGGUGGGGUAACGGCUCACCUAGGCGACGAUCCCUAGCUGGUCUGAGAGGAUGACCAUCCACCCUGGAACUGAGACACGGUCCAGACUCCUACGGGAGGCAGCAGUGGGGAAUAUUGCACAAUGGGCGCAAUCCUGAUGCAGCCAUGCCGCGUGUAUGAAGAAGGCCUUCGGGUUGUAAAGUACUUUCAGCGAGGAGGCGUUACUCGCAGAAGAAGCACCGGCUAACUACGUGCCAGCAGCCGCGGUAAUUC